CGGGGUUCACUUUCUUCUUGGUCCGAAGUUCGAACAGAAGAGGCAUUCGAACAGUGUCGUCGCCUUCCUCCUUCCACUGGUAACUGGGAAAUCUUUUCUUUCUCUCUCUGAUUGUUCCCCGUAUUCUCUCCCACCUUCGGUUCUUCUUAUCCGUCUCCAUCGUCUCUCUGUCUUUCCUCGGGCCUAAGCUGAGUCGUUAACAAAGAACGUCAUUCAUCGCCUUCGACCUCAAGACAGAGAACAGAGCAGCGGUGCUAGAUUCAGAUCCACUCGACCCUUUUCUCUGGCUUUCCUCUUUCAACUCUUCAGCUUUCAUCAACCGAGGGCGACUAAUUUGAAGACGGAGCUCAUCUGAAAUCUCCCCCAUUGCAUCGAUCAGAGUCUAGGCCGAAAUCCCAGCCCAGAGGAUCUAAUAAUCCAAGUAGUCUGGCUGAAUGUAAUAUCAUAACUGCAAGCUUGGAUAUCUUAUUAACAAUGGGGCUUCAUGUCUUAUGCUUCAAAGUUCAAACUCCAGAGUUCAAUUAUGGAUUGCAGGUCAAAAAUUGUUCUUAGGGUAUGGUUACUGGAAGUGAAGACUGAAGAGAUAUUUUUAGGCAGCCAUUGGAAGGAUGCAACAGGAUUGUAAUGGCCCCUGGAUCCUAUGCCCUUUUAUCAGAGAAGCUAGACCUUUAGUUCCUGGAGUGAAGAUCUCUUUUAUAUGGAUGUCAAUAUUGUAGAUAUGUAGAGUAACAGUAUUAUUACCUACCUAAUGUAUAUGGUUUUCACUUUGUGCCAGCUCAAAAUUCUUUUCGGGAAUGAAGUUAAAAACUUUGUUUUUAUUUGUGUAAUAGAUUAUUUGGUUGCUCUAUAAGAAUCACUUUCACCUUC